CUGGCAGGAGUGUGAGCAUUUUAAUCUCAAGCACUUGCGAAGCACAUCAGCCUCACUUUCCAUUUUAACCAUCAACAGAACAGAGCUGGAGAGAGGGUCAACCCUUCCUCUUGUCCCCAGGCAAACAUGGAGAAUGGCUUGUUGCUCUUCUUAAGGGGUGUUCUCUCAGUCAGAGGUCAACCAAAUGAUGGAAAAUGACCUGCCACACUCUCCCUCAGAAAAAGCAGAAGGAAUGGGAAAAAGGAAAGAAUACUUUGGAUGAAGAGCACAACUGCAGAAAGGGAGAGGCAUCAAGAUACCAACAAGAUAUCAAACAAGAUAUCUGUGCUCACAAGUGUGACAGAGAGUCACAUCUCUAGUCAGCAGAAAUGGGAUGCUCUUUAAAGGAAUAGACAUGAAAUUUAACAACCAAACUCAGUCAUGCUACUUCUUGAAUAAACUGAAUUUCACCUAACUUUAGGUGUAGACUACACGGUGAGUUGCCCUUGGCUCUCCUCAUGGAAAGAGAAAGAAUUUUUUAAGACAAGAUUCAUUUUCCUAGAAAGCACCAGAUGAAUUUAAUGACCCAAGGUGUUGAAGCUCCUUUUCUUUCUCCAUGGAGCAUAA